rnacentral:rRNA from 1 species
GAUGAACGCUAGCGGCAGGCUUAAUACAUGCAAGUUGAGGGGCAGCAUGAUAUACGCGAGUAUAUUGAUGGCGACCGGCGGACGGGUGAGUAAUAGGUAGGAGACCUACCCCAUACAGGGGGAUAGCAUAGAGAAAUCUGUGGUAAUACCCCAUGAGGUUAUAUGAAUAGAGGCAUAUAAUCAAAGCAUAAGUGAUUAUGCGGUAUGAGAGGGGCCUACUGACCAUUAGCUAGUUGGUGAGGUAAGGGCUCACCAAGGCGAAGAUGGUUAGGGGUUUUGAGAGAGAGACCCCCCACAUUGGAACUGAGAGACGGUCCAGACUCCUACGGGAGGCAGCAGUAGGGAAUAUUGGGCAAUGGGCGAAAGCCUGACCCAGCCAUGCCGCGUGAAGGAAGACGGCCUUAUGGGUUGUAAACUUCUUUACUACGCGAAUAGAGGUUAGUACGAGAUACUAAUAGGAAGGUAGUGUAGUAAAAGCACCGGCUAACUCCGUGCC